ensembl:processed_transcript 5430405H02Rik RIKEN cDNA 5430405H02 gene
AGCCCCUCCGAGGAAAGCCGAGAUUGUACGUUUCCUUGCCGGCUGAGCCGCGGCUCGUCCCCCGGAGCGACACAAAGAAGAAGUGGCCUUGCAUCCUGCUCCGCCUCCCGAGCCGGGUCCUUGGUCCCCGGAAGCCCUGGGCUGCCCCACUGGAGUUACCUUCUGUGCGUUCUCUCCUAAACCUACACGUUAUUCACGACUUUGUUCAUGACUAUGGAAAACAAAACAAAAACAAAAACCAAACCAAAGUUCCCUCGCCUGGCGAUGGUGCAAGCCUGUCUACCUGCUGGAGGAUGGGAAGACCAAACCAAGAAUUAAACAACCACUCUAGUCUGAACUCAGCACCACUGCAGAGAAUCUGCUGGUCCCUAUACAACCAUCCUGUGGGAAGUAGAUUACCCACUUACCGAGCUCCACCCACCGUGUAAGGUGCUCUCUCCCCACACCUGUGCUUCUGGGCUACCUACUGCAUUNNNNNNNNNNNNNCAAAAGGAAAAUAAAACAAUUUAGCAAAAAUCUAAACAUUCAACUGGAGUCGGUUCUGUGACAUCUGCUGGGCAUUUCCUUUGUCCUUUGAAUAGGUUGGAAUGUGCACACCUGGCUCAACCAAAAGAGGCACAGCUUAGGGGCGGCUUGGACCCAGCUCAAGUCUGGACUUGGCAGCUUUCCUGAGCCUGCCUAGGAAAGCAGGCUGGAGUGCAGGUGUCCCAGGGCUCUCUGGAGGAGCAGCAGCAACACCAUGCCUGGCUCUGGUGCCUUGGUCUCCUCGGAGAGGACGCUUGAAGGAAUGGCACUCAGCAGAGUACAGGCCCCGUAACAGUGCAGCGCAGCGACAUCCGCUGAGGACUGGACAGAAUGGUCCUGAUGCUUGGCAGUGAUCCGUACUUGGAUAACACUCUGCAUGAAAGGGCAGUGAGCCAGGAACCUCAAGCCACCCGGGAGCAGGUGCCUACUUGGCGUUUUCUGAGACGAAAGGCAGCGGAGUGUGUAGCAAAGGUGGCGCUGGCUCUUGCUGCUUCUGAAGCUCCAUCUCGGCAGCCCUCUGCAGCGCCACCUCCACCAGCAACUGGAAGCUGCUGAAGUCAUCCUUGUCCUGCUCUGGGGGUGUGGGUGGUGGCGUAUUGAAGAGUCCACCCGUGGGGCUUCCAGCCUCUGCCCUAGUCAGCAGGGGUCACUGUAAAGCUCUGGCUGUUCUGGAACUCACUAUGUAGACCAAGGUGGCCUCAAAUGCUUCUUCUCCCUGAUUCCCAGGAUUAAAGCCACCAUGCUUGGGCUGGAGAGAUGGCUCACUGAUGUAAGAGCACUGAUUGCUCUUCCAGAGGUCCUGAGUUCAAAUCCCAGCAACCACGUGGUGGCUCACAACCAUCUAUAAAAAGGAUCUGAUGCCCUCUUCUGGUGUCUGAAGACAGCUACAGUGUACUCAUAUAAAU